CUGGUUGAUCCUGCCAGUAGUCAUAUGCUUGUCUCAAAGAUUAAGCCAUGCAUGUCUUAGUGUAAAUAACUCUUAUGAAACUGCGAAUGGCUCAUUAAAUCAGUUAUCAAAUACGUGAUGGUCGCCUACUACAUGGAUAACCGUAGUAAUUCUAGAGCUAAUACAUGCACAAAGGCCCACGCAAGUGGGUUGUGAUUAUUAGAUUCAAACCGGCCUCGUUCUGGUGAUUCAUAAUAAUUGGUCGAACCGCAUGCCCUUGUGGUGGCGGUGAUUCAUCCUUAUUUCUGCCCUAUCAACUAUC
rnacentral:rRNA from 1 species